CUGGCUAUAGGAAAUUGUUAGUGGCAGACGGGUGAGUAAUGCGUAGGAAUCUACCUAGUAGUACGGAAUAGCCAUUAGAAAUGGUGGGUAAUACUGUAUAAUCCCCGAGGGGGAAAGAUUUAUUGCUAUUAGAUGAGCCUACGUUAGAUUAGCUAGUUGGCGAGGUAAUGGCUUACCAAGGCUAUGAUCUAUAGCUGGUCUGAGAGGACGAUCAGCCACACUGGAACUGAGAUACGGUCCAGACUCCUACGGGAGGCAGCAGUGGGGAAUAUUGGACAAUGGGCGAAAGCCUGAUCCAGCUAUGCCGCGUGAGUGAAGAAGGCCUUCGGGUUGUAAAACUCUUUCAAUAGGGAAGAUAA
rnacentral:rRNA from 1 species